GGGUGCGUAACGCGUGAGCAACAUGCCCGUAUCAGGGGGAUAAUCCAGGGAAACUUGGUCUAAUACCCCAUAGCAAUUAAAGGAGGCAUCUUUUUUAAUUUAAAGCUUUGGUGGAUACGGAUUGGCUCGCGUGACAUUAGCUAGAUGGUAAGGUAACGGCUUACCAUGGCUACGAUGUCUAGGGGUUCUGAGAGGAAGAUCCCCCACACUGGAACUGAGACACGGUCCAGACUCCUACGGGAGGCAGCAGUGAGGAAUAUUGGACAAUGGAUGGAAAUCUGAUCCAGCCAUGCCGCGUGCAGGAAGACGGCCCUAUGGGUUGUAAACUGCUUUUGUAUGGGAGCAAUAAGGUCUAUGCGUAGACUGAUGAGAGUACCAUACGAAUAAGCAUCGGCUAACUCCGUGCCAGCAGCCGCGGUAAUACGGGGGAUGCAAGCGUUAUCCGGAUUUAUUGGGUUUAAAGGGUGCGUAGGCGGUUUGAUAAGUCAGCGGUGAAAUAUUUCAGCUUAACUGAAAGGGUGCCGUUGAUACUGUCAGGCUUGAAUAUGGUUGCUGUGGGUGGAAUGUGUGGUGUAGCGGUGAAAUGCUUAGAUAUCACACAGAAUAUCGAUUGCGAAGGCAGCUCACAAAGCCAUUAUUGACGCUGAUGCACGAAAGUGUGGGGAUCAAACAGGAUUAGAUACCCUGGUAGUCCACACUGUAAACGAUGAUAACUCGCUGUCGGCGAUACACAGUCGGUAGCCAAGCGAAAGCGAUAAGUUAUCCACCUGGGGAGUACGACCGC
rnacentral:rRNA from 1 species